rnacentral:misc_RNA from 1 species
AAGUCGUAACAAGGUUUCCGUAGGUGAACCUGCGGAAGGAUCAUUAACACGUAUCCAAACGUUAACACCGGCCCCGUGAACAUUGAUUCCUGCUCUUGUAACCCGCGAAGCUUGCAAUCUCUGGUAAAUCAUAGCCCGGAAAGUACUUUUGAUUCAGAGACCUCUGGCCCGUGCGAAAAUUGGAACAGUUACAAUUCGAGCGGUAGUUCGAAACGCCUUGUUUCCCCAAGCAGUCAGUGUCUGAAGGUGUCAGUGAUUGUGCAAGGAUAACGCUUCACGAUUCUUGUAGACCGCACCUCGCGGGCAGGAGCUAGGCCAAAGGGUCCCCAUGCCCCCUUACAACCCCACAGUUAAAUGUGAAGCUCAAUGUAAUACAUUGGGUAAAAAACCGAACAACUGUUAACAAUGGAUAUCUUGGUUCUC